GACCAGUAACCAGCAGGUAGCCUAGUGGUUAGAGCGUUGGACUAGUAACCAGCAGGUAGCCUAGUGGUUAGAGCGUUGGACUAGUAACCAGCAGGUAGCCUAGUGGUUAGAGCGUUGGACUAGUAACCAGCAGGUAGCCUAGUGGUUAGAGCGUUGGACUAGUAACCAGCAGGUAGCCUAGUGGUCAGAGUGUUGGACUAGUAACCAGCAGGUAGCCUAGUGGUUAGAGCGUUGGACUAGUAACCAGCAGGUAGCCUAGUGGUUAGAGCGUUGGACUAGUAACCAGCAGGUAGCCUAGUGGUUAGAGCGUUGGACUAGUAACCAGCAGGUAGCCUAGUGGUUAGAGCGUUGGACUAGUAACCAGCAGGUAGCCUAGUGGUUAGAGCGUUGGACUAGUAACCAGCAGGUAGCCUAGUGGUUAGAGCGUUGGACUAGUAACCAGCAGGUACACUAGUGGUUAGAGCGUUGGACUAGUAACCAGCAGGUAACCUAGUGGUUAGAGCGUUGGACUAGUAACCAGCAGGUAGCCUAGUGGUUAGAGCGUUGGACUAGUAACCAGCAGGUAACCUAGUGGUUAGAGCGUUGGACUAGUAACCAGCAGGUAACCUAGUGGUUAGAGCGUUGGACUAGUAACCAGCAGGUAACCUAGUGGUUAGAGCGUUGGACUAGUAACCAGCAGGUAACCUAGUGGUUAGAGCGUUGGACUAGUA